UACGUAGGGUGCAAGCGUUGUCCGGAAUCAUUGGGCGUAAAGCGCACGCAGGCGGUCUGCUAAGUUUGGAGUGACAGUUGGUGGCUUAACUGCCAAAGUGCUUCGAAAACUGACAGACUUGAGGGCUUCAGAGGGACACGGAAUUCCGGGUGGAGUGGUGAAAUGCGUAGAGAUCCGGAGGAACACCAAAGGCGAAGGCAGUGUCCUGGGGAGUACCUGACGCUCAGGUGCGAAAGCCAGGGGAGCGAACGGG
rnacentral:rRNA from 1 species